UACGGAGGAUGCGAGCGUUAUCCGGAUUUAUUGGGUUUAAAGGGUGCGCAGGCGGCACGGCAAGCCGGCGGUCAAAUCGCGGGGCUCAACCCCGCCCAGCCGUCGGAACUGCCGGGCUAGAGUGGGCGAGAAGUGCGCGGAAUGCGUGGUGUAGCGGUGAAAUGCAUAGAUAUCACGCAGAACUCCGAUUGCGAAGGCAGCGCACCGGCGCCCUACUGACGCUCAGGCACGAAUGCGUGGGUAUCGAACAGG
rnacentral:rRNA from 1 species